GACGAACGCUGGCGGCGUGCUUAACACAUGCAAGUCGAACGGAAAGGCCCUGCUUUUGUGGGGUGCUCGAGUGGCGAACGGGUGAGUAACACGUGAGUAACCUGCCCUUGACUUUGGGAUAACUUCAGGAAACUGGGGCUAAUAACGGAUAGGAGCUCCUGCUGCAUGUUGGGGGUUUGAAAGUUUCGGCGGUUGGGGAUGGACUCGCGGCUUAUCAGCUUGUUGGUGGGGUAGUGGCUUACCAAGGCUUUGACGGGUAGACGGCCUGAGAGGGUGACCGGCCACAUUGGGACUGAGAUACGGCCCAGACUCCUACGGGAGGCAGCAGUGGGGAAUAUUGCACAAUGGGCGGAAGCCUGAUGCAGCAACGCCGCGUGCGGGAUGACGGCCUUCGGGUUGUAAACCGCUUUCGCCUGUGACGAAGCGUGAGUGACGGUAAUGGGUAAAGAAGCACCGGCUAACUACGUG
rnacentral:rRNA from 1 species